CCUACGGGAGGCAGCAGUGAGGAAUAUUGGUCAAUGGGCGCGAGCCUGAACCAGCCAAGCCGCGUGAAGGAUGACUGCCCUACGGGUUGUAAACUUCUUUUAUAAAGGAAUAAAGUGAGGCACGUGUGCCUUUUUGUAUGUACUUUAUGAAUAAGGAUCGGCUAACUCCGUGCCAGCAGCCGCGGUAAUACGGAGGAUCGGAGCGUUAUCCGGAUUUAUUGGGUUUAAAGGGAGCGUAGAUGGGUUGUUAAGUCAGUUGUGAAAGUUUGCGACUCAACCGUAAAAUUGCAGUUGAUACUGGCAGACUUGAGUACGGGUGAGGUAGGCGGAAUGCGUGGUGUAGCGGUGAAAUGCUUAGAUAUCACGAAGAACACCGAUUGCGAAGGCAGCUUACUAGACUGCAACUGACACUGAUGCACGAAAGUGUGGGUAUCGAACAGGAUUAGAUACCCGAGUAGUC
rnacentral:rRNA from 1 species